ACAAAGGCGAGGAAGAAGAGGAGUAUGCUGAAUACCCUGACAGAGAGGAAUAUCCGCUGGCUGGAAGAUAUUCUCAGAAGGACGCAGCAGAAGGUAGCUUUGGAGCCGGGAGGCUGAUGGCCGGAAAUGAAGUACAGAAACCGGCAGCAGGCUUUCACGUAAAUCCUGCGUUAAAGGAAAAUGAGAUGUGCAGAGAAAUAAGUGUGAUAAACUGACUGUUUCCUGCAUAAUGAAGGUGGUACCGCGACAAGAUUCGCCCUUCAC
rnacentral:ncRNA from 1 species